UGCGGGGUGGUGUAAUUGGUAACACGAGGGACUUUGGAUCCCUAAUUGUAGGUUCGAUCCCUACCCCCGCAG
rnacentral:tRNA from 1 species